rnacentral:rRNA from 1 species
AACGAACGCUGGCGGCAUGCCUAACACAUGCAAGUCGAACGAGACCUUCGGGUCUAGUGGCGCACGGGUGCGUAACGCGUGGGAAUCUGCCCUUGGGUUCGGAAUAACAGUUGGAAACGACUGCUAAUACCGGAUGAUGACGUAAGUCCAAAGAUUUAUCGCCCAGGGAUGAGCCCGCGUAGGAUUAGCUAGUUGGUGGGGUAAAGGCCUACCAAGGCGACGAUCCUUAGCUGGUCUGAGAGGAUGAUCAGCCACACUGGGACUGAGACACGGCCCAGACUCCUACGGGAGGCAACAGUGGGGAAUAUUGGACAAUGGGCGAAAGCAUGAUCCAGCAAUGCCGCGUGAGUGAUGAAGGCCUUAGGGUUGUAAAGCUCUUUUACCCGGGAUGAUAAUGACAGUACCGGGAGAAUAAGCCCCGGCUAACUCCGUG